rnacentral:rRNA from 1 species
GACUUGGGUGUUGCCGCUCUGCCGGCUCGCCUUAAAAGACUUAGCGGGAUAGCACCGUAGUCGGCGUAAUAAGUUUCGUCGGUGAAGGUUGUGAUGACUGCUUACAAUCGCCCUCGGGCAAUUUUUGACUCUGACCUCAAAUCAGGUAGGACUACCCGCUGAACUUAAGCAUAUCAAUAAGCGGAGGAAAAGAAACUAACAAGGAUUCCCUUAGUAGCGGCGAGCGAAGCGGGAAGAGCUCAAAUUUGAAAGCUGGCGUCCUACGGGCGUCCGCAUUGUAAUCUAUAGAGGCGUUUUCUGUGCUGGACCGUGUCCAAGUCCCUUGGAACAGGGUAUCAAAGAGGGUGACAAUCCCGUACUUGACACGACAACCAGUGCUCUGUGAUACGUCUUCUACGAGUCGAGUUGUUUGGGAAUGCAGCUCAAAAUGGGUGGUGAAUUCCAUCUAAAGCUAAAUAUUGGCGAGAGACCGAUAGCGAACAAGUACCGUGAGGGAAAGAUGAAAAGCACUUUGGAAAGAGAGUUAAACAGUAUGUGAAAUUGUUGAAAGGGAAACGAUGGAGGUCAGUCGUGUCUGUGGGAUUCAGCCGUCUCUGGCGGUGUACUUCCCACAGACGGGUCAACAUCAGUUUUGGCUGGCGGAUAAAGGCAGGAGGAAGGUGGCACCCCCGGGUGUGUUAUAGCCUCUUGUUGCAUACGCUGGCUGAGACUGAGGAAUGCAGCUCGCCUUUAUGGCCGGGG